rnacentral:pre_miRNA from 1 species
CAAAGUGCUUACAGUGCAGGUAGUGACAUAUAGAACCUACUGCAGUGAAGGCACUUGUAGC